UACGAAGGGGGCUAGCGUUGUUCGGAAUUACUGGGCGUAAAGCGCACGUAGGCGGAUCGAUCAGUCAGGGGUGAAAUCCCAGAGCUCAACUCUGGAACUGCCUUUGAUACUGUCGAUCUAGAGUAUGGAAGAGGUGAGUGGAAUUCCGAGUGUAGAGGUGAAAUUCGUAGAUAUUCGAGGAACACCAGUGGCGAAGGCGGCUCACUGGUCCAUUACUGACGCUGAGGUGCGAAAAGCGUGGGGGAGCAAACAGG
rnacentral:rRNA from 1 species